CUUAGUAGCUCUUGGUUGCUUUCAAACAGGUCAGCUUUGGGCAGAAGGCAAUUUCGCUGCUCAGCUCAGCAAAGAGCACCUGGGAGUGGAGGUUGCUGGCCACACUCACCGCUGGUGGGGGAUGCAUUGAAGCAGACUUGAUGUUGGUUUUUAUUCCACUUGGCAUUCCCCCUGGUUGACCUGCGUGGGCCAUUUGCACCCCACUGAGCACUGCCUGCUGCUGGCUUGGAGCACCUGAGAACAGAGAUGGGGUGUGUGUGCAUGUCAUCAACUUAGUGCUUCCCUGCUCCAAAUGCACCCUUCUCUGCCCAGCUCUGUGAUCCUGUCAGCCAGCGCCACGCGUAGGCCUUGUCAGACCUAGCACCAGGAAGGUGCUAGAAGAACACGGGCUUCUCUUCCUAGUUCCAGAACUUUCUUCGGGCUCCUACAGCACAGCUGCCAGUGGGCGGCUUCCCAAUGAGAUUUUGCCAUCACCCAGCACACAGUUUCCUGCUUGCCAACCGCAGCCUGCAGCACCUCAGCAAACUCCUCUGCCAUCCGUGGGCCACCACCACGCCCUCACCAAGGACUGCUGUGGUUUCUGCAUCCUGACGGGAUCCUGGCUGAUACAGAAUGCAUUGCUUCUUUCACUUCUCCUUUGAGAACAGGUCUUUCAAAGAAAAUGGAGAACAGGGUGGUCGGUAGGUAAAAAUAACACAUUAUUCACUGUUUACCAUAUACUGGGCAAUGUUCUAAGAACUUUACACCUUUUUAACUAACUUAAUCCUCAUGCCAAGCCUAUGAAGUAAGUAGCAUUUUUAUUUCCUUUUACAGAUGAGGAAACAGGCACAGUGAGGUGGCCUAAGUAAGUGGUCGAGCUGGAGUUCAAAUAUAAAUUAUGUGACUUAAAGGUCCAUGCCCUCAACACUAGAGAGUAGAGUGCUCAGUCUGCCAUUGACAAGAAAGGGAGAGAGACCUGUGACAGUACCUGGCAUUUAAAACUGUGCCUCUCGGGGGUUACCCUCAAGAGAGGCACUAAUCAGGGCUCACAGAGUGACGGUGGCCAAAGGGUCCUACCUUGAAAUAUGGGAAAGACGAAAUAGAACUAGGACCACUAGAGAGAUGAAAACAGGGACCAGCUAUGCAGGGGUUCCCAAAUGCCCCAAGCAAGCCUGCUGAGAAAAUGGGGUGGUUCCUCUGUCAGUUAUGGCAAUAGUUGAACCCAAACCUACUGGACCAGGGACAGGGUGGCAGGUCUUAGAGACUAGGCCUAGAUAAUGACGGAGUCUUCCCUUCAAGAGGAGGAUGGGAGAGGGAGCCAUGGGCCUCAAGGGUUUCAGUAACACGCAGGGCUGUCCUUAGGUCAAAUUUUGGGGUGAGUAGGAAAGCUCACCCUGUGGGGUUGAAGUAAGACGAGGAACAAGUAAAACAACCUUCGUUCAUAUCUACUUAGCCAACAACUGACUGAGUGACUUCGAUUAUAUUCCUUUACACUAUACGGUACAUCACAGUUGGUUUAGCCAUUGUAUUAGUGGAUUUCCUGUUUGGAGCUGUUAUAAAUAAAGCUGCU